CAAACAGGAAACCAGAGAGAGAACACCGAAUUCAAUUCAGGGUAGAUCUAGUCAUCUGAUGAGCUGUCACAAAUAUGCUUCACUUCUGAGAUGAACCAACCGACGCCAGAGGGGAGGAGGAGUCUGCAGCUGAACCACACUCGGACUGAAGGCCAGUGUCCUCCAAACCAACUGCGUAAUUCCUCUUCCAAGAAUGAGGAUGACUCAUUAUCAUUCACAAAUGACAAAUUCUGAACUUGCUGUUUCCAUCAUUUCCACUCAGCAUCCUUUCUUCUAGGACAGGACUGGACAAGGGUCACCUUCCUUCUAGAUCAGGGGACAGGUUCCUCAGGUUCCAUCAGCCAUGUGGUCUCUGCCCCACGCACUGGAACUCGGCCUUACAGUGGAGAUGCAGCCAAGACAGCAGACCACAGGGCUAUGUCGCAAUAAAGCUUUAUUUAUGGACAAUG